CGGCAAUCUAAAUACUGCCAGCAUGCAUACGUUACAUUUAAAAAAAAACAAAAAAAACAUUAGCCGGCAGAUUUGGUUCCAAAUAAAAAUGUACUUUUGGGUCUGAUCUUGAAGACGUGUUUUUAUUUUGAAGAAUGCUGUUGCCUUUCUUUUGGUUUCGCAUAUAUUCGUUAACAAUAACUGUGAAAACCAAACCUUUAAAUUGGCAGAUUCAUAUAUUAUUUUUCUUUUUUACAUUUUUUAUUUUUGAUGUGAAAGUACAUGCACAGCACAGCACAGCAUAAAAAAGCAGCAUAGACUUCACAUUUUUUUGUAUGUAGAAUGCCACCUAAUGAGAACCAGAAGUAGGUUGGCAUGAAGAAAAAAGAACAUUGGACAUAACUCAGAAUAAGCAGAGCCCAAGGCAAGAGAUUCGCACAGAUAAUUCAAAGAACUUGGACAAACGGAUGUAGGAAACUUUUUGUAUUUAAGUUGCUGUGGACUGUAGCUUCAAUUAACCUUUAGCCAUUUUCGUCAUUAUAAACAUACUGAUCAAUGGUAAAAGUAAUACAUGUAAUCACAGGUUUAUAAAUUCAUAUUAUUGAUUUUAUUGCUCUUAUUUAAAAAUAAACCUGGGAUAUCAUAGUUAUAUAGUCACAUAGGCUGAUAUGAGACGUGUCCAUCAGUGUUGAUACUAAGAUAUGUAACAGGGUUGAUGUUCCAGGAGGGACAAGCCAAAUGGCAAAUGAUUUAGGUAAACUAGAAAAAUGGUCAGAAUUGUGGCAACUGACAUUUAAUGUGGACAAAUGCAAGAUAAUGCAUCUUGGACGUAAAAACCCAAGGGCAGAGUACAGAAUAUUUGAUAGAGUCCUAACCUCAACAUAUGAGGAAAGGGAUUUAGGGGUGAUUAUUUCUGAUGACUUAAAGGUAGGCAGACAAUGUAAUAGAGCAGCAGGAAAUGCUAGCAGAAUGCUUGGUUGUAUAGGGAGAGGUAUUAGCAGUAGAAAGAGGGAAGUGCUCAUGCCAUUAUACAGAACACUGGUGAGACCUCACUUGGAGUAUUGUACACAGAAGGAUAUUGAUACCUUAUAGAGAGUUCAGAGAAGGGCUACUAAAACUUACCAGGAAAGGUUAGUGCUUCCUAUUUUGUAACAAACUAGGGAAAAAUUCCUUCUUGACCCCAGAAUGGCAGUCAGAUCUCUCCUUGUAUCAAGAAGCUAUUAACCCACUAAUUAAAAAUGAUUGAAUAUUAUGUUUUUGCAAAUAUUCAUCCAUUUGCUGUUUAAACAUCUGUAUGAACUCUGAUAAAACCACCUCUUCAGGCAAAUAAUUCUACAUCCUUAUUGUUUUUACUUUAAAAAAAAAC